UGGUUUUAAUUUGGUUAUCAUGAUAGGUUUCGCAUCACUGUGGCGGUGAUCUUUAUUUCUUUUGUUACAUCCAUAGUUACAUUAUUGUUGCACUAGUAUCGAUAUAGUUGUAUGCACUGAUUAUGCCAUGCCGUUAUUUAUAUAUUAUGCCUAUAUUGUUGGCACUAGUUCUACUGUGGGAUGUUAUCAUGUAACUACACUACCGUUUCUGCCACCUGAGGAUUAUUU
rnacentral:lncRNA from 1 species